GCUCCUCUUUCCGGCUCCUUCUCUUGACUCCUCCCCAUUCUUCUAGUCCCUCCCCUUUUUGCCCUUUCAUCUUCACUGUAAAGUCCUGCCCCUUCUGCUUAUCCUAUAGAUUGGGGUCAAGGUGUCCUUGGUUCUUAGGCUUGCCUCACUGGAUUUGUCUGUAUUUGUUUAAAAAUGGCAUAAAAACAUGUGUGUGUGUGUGUGUGUAUCAGUUUAAGUGUAAAUUGGAUACAGCUGUAUGGAAUUAUGUAUGCUGCCUGAGAAUCAGUUGUGUGUUGAGAACCAUUGGUGCAAACUGAAAAGUAACAUUGUAUUGUAAUGUGUGAGCAAUUGCCUUUAGCGCCGGUUCCAAAGCUAAAAAGAAAAGCGGCCAGUGGAAGGUGAAGGAAACACAGAACUGAACCCAGGACCUGUGUAGCUGCCACACCUGUCAGACUUCGGUCUGAUAGGAGGAAUUAUAUACAAGCGUGGUUCUGUCUACGUCUUUCAAGCAAAGGAGAACUGAGACAGUGGACUGUAAAGUACCUCACAAGAGUGAUGUGAAAUAACAUUCUGAUUUUGAAAGUACUACCUUACAAGAGUGGUGUGAAAUAAUUUUUUGAUUUCUCUAUGGACACUUAA